rnacentral:rRNA from 1 species
ACAAUGAUUUCUCUAGUAACGGCGAGUGAAGAGGAAAGAGCUCAAAGUUGGAAACUGUUUGGCUUAGCUAAACCGUAUUGUAAACUGUAGAAACAUUUUCCUGGCACACCAGAUUAAUAAGUCCUUUGGAACAAGGCAUCAUGGAGGGUGAGAAUCCCGUCUUUGAUCUGAGUAGUUGUCUUUUGUGAUAUGUUUUCAAAGAGUCAGGUUGUUUGGGAAUGCAGCCUAAAUUGGGUGGUAAAUCUCACCUAAAGCUAAAUAUUUGCGAGAGACCGAUAGCGAACAAGUACCGUGAGGGAAAGAUGAAAAGAACUUUGAAAAGAGAGUUAAACAGUAUGUGAAAUUGUUAAAAGGGAACCGUUUGGAGCCAGACUGGUUUGCUUGUAAUCAACCUAGAAUUCGUUUUGGGUGCACUUGCAGGCUAUACCUGCCAACAACAGUUUGAUUUGGAGGAAAAAAUUAGUAGGAAUGUAGCCUCUCGAGGUGUUAUAGCCUACUAUCAUACUCUGGAUUGGACUGAGGAACGCAGCGAAUGCCUUUAGGCAAGAUUGCUGGGUGCUUUCGCUAAUAAAUGUUAGAAUUUCUGCUUCGGGUGGUGCUAAUGUUUAAAGGAGGAACACAUCUAGUAUAUUUUUUAUUCGCUUAGGUUG